rnacentral:rRNA from 1 species
GACGAACGCUGGCGGCGUGCUUAACACAUGCAAGUCGAACGGAAAGGCCCUGCUUUUGUGGGGUGCUCGAGUGGCGAACGGGUGAGUAACACGUGAGUAACCUGCCCUUGACUUUGGGAUAACUUCAGGAAACUGGGGCUAAUACCGGAUAGGAGCUCCUGCUGCAUGGUGGGGGUUGGAAAGUUUCGGCGGGUGGGGAUGGACUCGCGGCUUAUCAGCUUGUUGGUGGGGUAGUGGCUUACCAAGGCUUUGACGGGUAGCCGGCCUGAGAGGGUGACCGGCCACAUUGGGACUGAGAUACGGCCCAGACUCCUACGGGAGGCAGCAGUGGGGAAUAUUGCACAAUGGGCGGAAGCCUGAUGCAGCAACGCCGCGUGCGGGAUGACGGCCUUCGGGGUGUAAACCGCUUGCGCCUGUGACGAAGCGUGAGUGACGGUAAUGGGUAAAGAAGCACCGGCUAACUACGUG